rnacentral:rRNA from 1 species
AGAGUUUGAUUCUGGCUCAGGAUGAACGCUAGCGGCAGGCUUAACACAUGCAAGUCGAGGGGCAGCACGAUGUAGCAAUACAUGGGUGGCGACCGGCGCACGGGUGCGUAACACGUAUGGAAUCUGCCCUUUACUGGGGAAUAGCCCGGAGAAAUCCGGAUUAAUGCCCCAUAAUAAGCGAGGUGGCAUCACCUUGCUUUGAAAGCUCCGGCGGUAAAGGAUGACCAUGCGCACGAUUAGCUAGUUGGUGAGGUAACGGCUCACCAAGGCUACGAUCGUUAGGGGGCCUGAGAGGGUUAUCCCCCACACUGGUACUGAGACACGGACCAGACUCCUACGGGAGGCAGCAGUGAGGAAUAUUGCGCAAUGGAGGCAACUCUGACGCAGCCAUGCCGCGUGCAGGAAGAAGGCGCUACGCGUUGUAAACUGCUUUUAUCCGGGAAGAAACCCUCCGACGUGUCGGAGGUUGACGGUACCGGAGGAAUAAGCACCGGCUAACUUCGUGCCAGCCGCCGCGGUAA